GGAAUUUUCCGCAAUGGGCGAAAGUCUGACGGAGCGACGCUGCGUGAAGGAUGAAGGCCCGUGGGUUGUAAACUUCUUUUCUCGAAGAAGAAAAAAAUGACGGUACUUGAUGAAUAAGCCACGGCUAAUUCCGUGCCAGCAGCCGCGGUAAUACGGGAGUGGCAAGCGUUAUCCGGAAUUAUUGGGCGUAAAGCGUCCGCAGGCGGUCUUGUAAGUCUGUCGUUAAAGCGUGGAGCUUAACUCCAUUUGAGCGAUGGAAACUGCAAGACUAGAGUGUGGUAGGGGCAGAGGGAAUUCCCGGUGUAGCGGUGAAAUGCGUAGAUAUCGGGAAGAACACCAGUGGCGAAGGCGCUCUGCUGGGCCAUAACUGACGCUCAUGGACGAAAGCCAGGGGAGCGAAAGGGAUUAGAUACCCCAGUAGUC
rnacentral:rRNA from 1 species